CUGUGCAAACAGUGAAUGAUUUUGUUGAGUUUGUUUGUUUCAGAGUCAGAGAGCCGUGUCUCUCUACAGUCAGAGGUUUUUGUGCGGCGCCUCAAUGAGUUUGUAUCACUGUGGUGGACUUUUGGUGGAGGAACCAGACUGAAUGUUGGAAGUGAUGCCCGCCCCGCCCUGAAGGUGCUGGGUCCCUCCAGUGAGGAGCUGAAACAGGGGAAGGCCACGCUCAUGUGUCUGGCCAACAAGGGCUUCCCCUCAGACUGGAGUCUGUCCUGGAAGGUGGAUGGCAGUGGCAGCAUCAGCUGGGAGGAGAGCAGGAGCCCCGUGGUGCUGCAGAAUGACGGCCUCUACAGCUGGAGCAGCACCCUGAGGCUCCCUGCAGACCGCUGGAUGAAGGUGGGCUCUGUGACCUGUGAGGCCACCCAGGGCUCCCAGACUCUGGUCUCAGAGCCACUGAGGAGAGUCCAGUGUUCCCAGUCCUGAUGUCAAUCACUGAGUCUUUGAU